GUGUCAGAGUGGUAUAAGAGCCAGGUGAAUCAUCGAAUCUUUGAACGCACAUUGCGCCCCCUGGUAUUCCGGGGGGCAUGCCUGUUCGAGCGUCAUUUAUACCAAUCUAGCCUGGCUAGGUGUUGGGCUUCGCCGUCUGGCGGGCCUUAAAACUAGUGGCGGUGCUCUUAGGCUCUACGCGUAGUAAUUUUCUCGCUAUAGGGUCCUGGGAGAUGCUGGCCAGCAACCCCAAAUUUUUCUAGGUUGACCUCGGAUCAGGUAGGGAUACCCGCUGAACUUAAGCAUAUCAAUAAGCGGAGG
rnacentral:misc_RNA from 1 species